rnacentral:piRNA from 1 species
UGAAAAUACUUAAAAACUGAAAGCUUU